rnacentral:rRNA from 1 species
CGUGGGAAUCUGCCCUUGGGUUCGGAAUAACUUCGGGAAACUGAAGCUAAUACCGGAUGAUGACGUAAGUCCAAAGAUUUAUCGCCCAAGGAUGAGCCCGCGUAGGAUUAGCUAGUUGGUGAGGUAAAGGCUCACCAAGGCGACGAUCCUUAGCUGGUCUGAGAGGAUGAUCAGCCACACUGGGACUGAGACACGGCCCAGACUCCUACGGGAGGCAGCAGUGGGGAAUAUUGGACAAUGGGCGAAAGCCUGAUCCAGCAAUGCCGCGUGAGUGAUGAAGGCCUUAGGGUUGUAAAGCUCUUUUACCCGGGAUGAUAAUGACAGUACCGGGAGAAUAAGCUCCGGCUAACUCCGUGCCAGCAGCCGCGGUAAUACGGAGGGAGCUAGCGUUGUUCGGAAUUACUGGGCGUAAAGCGCACGUAGGCGGCUUUGUAAGUUAGAGGUGAAAGCCUGGAGCUCAACUCCAGAAUUGCCUUUGAUACUGCAUCGCUUGAAUCCAGGAGAGGUGAGUGGAAUUCCGAGUGUAGAGGUGAAAUUCGUAGAUAUUCGGAAGAACACCAGUGGCGAAGGCGGCUCACUGGACUGGUAUUGACGCUGAGGUGCGAAAGCGUAGGGAGCAAACAGGAUUAGAUACCCUGGUAGUCCACGCCGUANACGAUGAUAACUAGCUGUCAGGGUUCUUAGAACUUUGGUGGCGCAGCUAACGCAUUAAGUUAUCCGCCUGGGGAGUACGGUCGCAAGAUUAAAACUCAAAGGAAUUGACGGGGGCCUGCACAAGCGGUGGAGCNNNUGGUUUAAAUUCGAAGCANNNNCAGAACCUUACCAGCGUUUGAC